AGGACGAACGCUGGCGGCGUGCCUAAUACAUGCAAGUAGAACGCUGAAGAGAGGAGCUUGCUCUUCUUGGAUGAGUUGCGAACGGGUGAGUAACGCGUAGGUAACCUGCCUUGUAGCGGGGGAUAACUAUUGGAAACGAUAGCUAAUACCGCAUAACAAUGGGUGACACAUGUCAUUUAUUUGAAAGGGGCAAUUGCUCCACUACAAGAUGGACCUGCGUUGUAUUAGCUAGUAGGUGAGGUAACGGCUCACCUAGGCGACGAUACAUAGCCGACCUGAGAGGGUGAUCGGACCACGACUGGGACUGAGACACGGCCCAGACUCCUACGGGAGCAGCAGUAGGAAUCUUGGCAAUGGGGGCAACCCUGACCGAGCAACGCCGCGUGAGUGAAGAAGUUUCGGAUCGAAAGCUCUGUUGAAGUCAAGAACGAGUGUAGAGAGUAGGAAAGUUCAACACUGUGAGGUAGCUUACCGAGAAAGGGACGACUAACGUAACGUGACCG
rnacentral:rRNA from 1 species